AUGAACGCUAGCGGCAGGCUUAAUACAUGCAAGUUGAGGGGCAGCAUGAUAUACGCGAGUAUAUUGAUGGCGACGGCGGACGGGUGAGUAAUAGGUAGGAGACCUACCUCAUACAGGGGGAUAGCAUAGAGAAAUCUGUGGUAAUACCCCAUGAGGUUAUAUGAAUAGAGGCAUAUAAUCAAAGCAUAAGUGAUUAUGCGGUAUGAGAGGGGCCUACUGACCAUUAGCUAGUUGGUGAGGUAAGGGCUCACCAAGGCGAAGAUGGUUAGGGGUUUUGAGAGAGAGACCCCCCACAUUGGAACUGAGAGACGGUCCAGACUCCUACGGGAGGCAGCAGUAGGGAAUAUUGGGCAAUGGGCGAAAGCCUGACCCAGCCAUGCCGCGUGAAGGAAGACGGCCUUAUGGGUUGUAAACUUCUUUACUACGCGAAUAGAGGUUAGUACGAGAUACUAAUAGGAAGGUAGUGUAGUAAAAAGCACCGGCUAACUCCGUG
rnacentral:rRNA from 1 species